rnacentral:rRNA from 1 species
GACAGAGGCCCCAAGCGUUAGGCGGAAUCACUGGGCUUAAAGCGUGUGUAGGCGGACGCCUAAGUGUCUUGUGAAAUCCCACGGCUCACCCGUGGAACUGCUGGGCAUACUGGGCGUCUUGGGCCAACUAGGGGCAGCCGGAACAAGCGGUGGAGCGGUGAAAUGCGUAGAUAUCGCUUGGAACGCCGAAGGUGAAAACAGGCUGCUGGGGUUGCGCCGACGCUG